rnacentral:rRNA from 1 species
UACGAGAGGCGCAAACAUUAUUCGGAUUUACUGGGCUUAAAGAGUUCGUAGGCGGCGCAGAAAGUAGGGUGUGAAAGCCCUCGGCUCAACCGAGGAAUUGCGCUCUAAACUACUGUGCUUGAGGGACCUAGAGGUGAGCGGAACUGAUGGUGGAGCGGUGAAAUGCGUUGAUAUCAUCAGGAACACCGGAGGCGAAGGCGGCUCACUGGGGGUCUUCUGACGCUGAGGAACGAAAGCCAGGGGAGCGAACGGG